rnacentral:ncRNA from 1 species
GGUUAAGCGACUAAGCGUACACGGUGGAUGCCCUGGCAGUCAGAGGCGAUGAAGGACGUGCUAAUCUGCGAAAAGCGUCGGUAAGGUGAUAUGAACCGUUAUAACCGGCGAUGUCCGAAUGGGGAAACCCAGUGCAAUUCGUUGCACUAUCGUUAACUGAAUACAUAGGUUAACGAGGCGAACCGGGGGAACUGAAACAUCUAAGUACCCCGAGGAAAAGAAAUCAACCGAGAUUCCCCCAGUAGCGGCGAGCGAACGGGGAGCAGCCCAGAGUCUGAAUCAGCUUGUGUGUUAGUGGAACGGUCUGGAAAGUCCGACGGUACAGGGUGAUAGUCCCGUACACCAAAAUGCACAGGUUGUGAACUCGAAGAGUAGGGCGGGACACGUGGUAUCCUGUCUGAAUAUGGGGGGACCAUCCUCCAAGGCUAAAUACUCCUGACUGACCGAUAGUGAACCAGUACCGUGAGGGAAAGGCGAAAAAGAACCCCGGCGAGGGGAGUGAAAAAGAACCUGAAACCGUGUACGUACAAGCAGUGGGAGCACCUUCGGGUGUGACUGCGUACCUUUUGUAUAAUGGGUCAGCGACUUAUAUUCUGUAGCAAGGUUAACCGUAUAGGGGAGCCGCAGGGAAACCGAGUCUUAACUGGGCGUUAAGUUGCAGGGUAUAGACCCGAAACCCGGUGAUCUAGCCAUGGGCAGGUUGAAGGUUGGGUAACACUAACUGGAGGACCGAACCGACUAAUGUUGAAAAAUUAGCGGAUGACUUGUGGCUGGGGGUGAAAGGCCAAUCAAACCGGGAGAUAGCUGGUUCUCCCCGAAAGCUAUUUAGGUAGCGCCUCGUGAACUCAUCUUCGGGGGUAGAGCACUGUUUCGGCUAGGGGGUCAUCCCGACUUACCAACCCGAUGCAAACUACGAAUACCGAAGAAUGUUAUCACGGGAGACACACGGCGGGUGCUAACGUCCGUCGUGAAGAGGGAAACAACCCAGACCGCCAGCUAAGGUCCCAAAGUCAUGGUUAAGUGGGAAACGAUGUGGGAAGGCACAGACAGCCAGGAUGUUGGCUUAGAAGCAGCCAUCAUUUAAAGAAAGCGUAAUAGCUCACUGGUCGAGUCGGCCUGCGCGGAAGAUGUAACGGGGCUAAACCAUGCACCGAAGCUGCGGCAGCGACACUAUGUGUUGUUGGGUAGGGGAGCGUUCUGUAAGCCUGCGAAGGUGUGCUGUGAGGCAUGCUGGAGGUAUCAGAAGUGCGAAUGCUGACAUAAGUAACGAUAAAGCGGGUGAAAAGCCCGCUCGCCGGAAGACCAAGGGUUCCUGUCCAACGUUAAUCGGGGCAGGGUGAGUCGACCCCUAAGGCGAGGCCGAAAGGCGUAGUCGAUGGGAAACAGGUUAAUAUUCCUGUACUUGGUGUUACUGCGAAGGGGGGACGGAGAAGGCUAUGUUAGCCGGGCGACGGUUGUCCCGGUUUAAGCAUGUAGGCUGAUUAUCCAGGCAAAUCCGGAUAAUCAAGGCUGAGGUGUGAUGACGAGGCACUACGGUGCUGAAGUAACAAAUGCCCUGCUUCCAGGAAAAGCCUCUAAGCAUCAGGUAACAUCAAAUCGUACCCCAAACCGACACAGGUGGUCAGGUAGAGAAUACCAAGGCGCUUGAGAGAACUCGGGUGAAGGAACUAGGCAAAAUGGUGCCGUAACUUCGGGAGAAGGCACGCUGGUGUGUAGGUGAAGCCCCUGCGGGUGGAGCUGAGACCAGUCGAAGAUACCAGCUGGCUGCAACUGUUUAUUAAAAACACAGCACUGUGCAAACACGAAAGUGGACGUAUACGGUGUGACGCCUGCCCGGUGCCGGAAGGUUAAUUGAUGGGGUUAUCCGUAAGGAGAAGCUCUUGAUCGAAGCCCCGGUAAACGGCGGCCGUAACUAUAACGGUCCUAAGGUAGCGAAAUUCCUUGUCGGGUAAGUUCCGACCUGCACGAAUGGCGUAAUGAUGGCCAGGCUGUCUCCACCCGAGACUCAGUGAAAUUGAACUCGCUGUGAAGAUGCAGUGUACCCGCGGCAAGACGGAAAGACCCCGUGAACCUUUACUAUAGCUUGACACUGAACAUUGAGCCUUGAUGUGUAGGAUAGGUGGGAGGCUUUGAAGCGUGGACGCCAGUCUGCGUGGAGCCAACCUUGAAAUACCACCCUUUAAUGUUUGAUGUUCUAACGUUGGCCCCUGACCGGGGUUGCGGACAGUGUCUGGUGGGUAGUUUGACUGGGGCG